rnacentral:rRNA from 1 species
GACGAACGCUGGCGGCGUGCUUAACACAUGCAAGUCGAACGGAAAGGCCCUGCUUUUGUGGGGUACUCGAGUGGCGAACGGGAGAGUAACACGAGAGUAACCUGCCCUUGACUUUGGGAUAACUUCAGGAAACUGGGGCUAAUACCGGAUAGGAGCUCCUGCUGCAUGGUGGGGGUUGGAAAGUUUCGGCGGUUGGGGAUGGACUCGCGGCUUAUCAGCUUGUUGGUGGGGUAGUGGCUUACCAAGGCUUUGACGGGUAGCCGGCCGGAGAGGGUGACCGGCAACAUGGGGACUGAGAGACGGCCCAGACUGCUACGGGAGGCAACAGUGGGGAAUAUUGCACAAUGGGCGGAAGCCUGAUGCAGCAGCGCCGCGUGCGGGAUGACGGCCUUCGGGUUGUAAACCGCUUUCGCCUGUGACGAAGCGUGAGUGACGGUAAUGGGUAAAGAAGCACCGGCUAACUACGUG